CCUGUAACUCCUCCGGAGGGUACUGCCGGUCUCAAGCCCGGGUAAAGGAGGAGGGUUGG
rnacentral:ribozyme from 2 species